GACGAACGCUGGCGGCGUGCUUAACACAUGCAAGUCGAACGGAAAGGCCCUGCUUGCAGGGUACUCGAGUGGCGAACGGGUGAGUAACACGUGGGUGAUCUGCCCUGCACUUCGGGAUAAGCCUGGGAAACUGGGUCUAAUACCGGAUAGGAGCCAUUUUUAGUGUGAUGGUUGGAUAGUUUUUUCGGUGUUGGAUGAGCUCGCGGCCUAUCAGCUUGUUGGUGGGGUAAUGGCCUACCAAGGCGGCGACGGGUAGCCGGCCUGAGAGGGUGGACGGCCACAUUGGGACUGAGAUACGGCCCAGACUCCUACGGGAGGCAGCAGUGGGGAAUAUUGCACAAUGGGCGCAAGCCUGAUGCAGCGACGCCGCGUGGGGGAUGACGGCCUUCGGGUUGUAAACUCCUUUCGCUAGGGACGAAGCUUUUUGUGACGGUACCUAGAUAAGAAGCACCGGCUAACUACGUG
rnacentral:rRNA from 1 species